AGCCCUUUGAAUAUUUAAAGGGUCCUGCCUGCCCAGUGGCUCGAGGCUAAACGGCCGCGGUAUCUUGACCGUGCAAAGGUAGCAUAAUCAUUUGUCUUUUAAAUGGAGACUCGUAUGAACGGCAAAACCUUUUUCAACUGUCUCCUCUCCCACCCUUCUAAAUUUCUUUCUGUGUGAAGAAGCACAGAUACACUAGAAAGACGAGAAGACCCUGUCGAGCUUCAGCCACUAAGCGAACAGUAAUUUCCUUUUUGAAUAUCGCCUAAAGGCUUUGGUUGGGGCAACCACGGAGAAGAAAAAUCCUCCAGAACAAACAGAAGAAAACCCUUCACUAUUUAACCAUAUUUGAGAACCAGGAACUGGUAUCCGGAAAAAGUUACCGCAGGGAUAACAGCGUCAUCUCCUUUAAGAGUCCUUAUUGACAAGGAGGUUUGCGACCUCGAUGUUGGAUUGGGGCCCCCUUAGGGUGCAGAAGCUCUAAACGGUUAGACUGUUCGUCUAUUAAAGCCCU
rnacentral:rRNA from 1 species